rnacentral:lncRNA from 1 species
UCGGAGUGGCCGGGAGAGUGUCAUGGCAGUAGAUCGGUUUUGUCGGAACGCCGUUGGUCCACCCGAAUGGGAGUACGAGGCCAUGGGUUCUGUGGUGUGGGUACAAUGUGCUACCUCUGCAGAGUGUAUUAAUCUAUCGAUAGUCGUGUCCUCGGUCAUGGGCAUGGGUUCGUACUAGGUCCCACCGUUUGAUCAACACUCACAUGACGGAAUGACUUAUAGGUGAUUUAUAUGUUGAUAUGUUGAGCAGUACAGUUUGGCAGGAUGUUGAUGAUGAUGUUGGAGACCAAGUGUUGGUCGUCGUUGUGAUCGCCGGAAAGAUCACAGUUUGAGACCAAGUGUUGGUCAUGGUAGCGAUCGCCGGAAAGAUCACCGUGUGGUUUUGAUCAUGAGUUGAUCGAGAUGGUAUAUUGCUUGGCCGGUUAGCCAAGAGAGAUAUGGUUAUGGAGAUCUGAGAUGGUGAUUUAUCAGCAUUGUAUGAGUUUCAUCUCAUGCUUAGUAGUUGCUUCAUCAUGGUAGUUGUUAAUUAAUUAACCUGUUAAUGCUAUGUUAUUGUCUUGCCUUGAUGUUUAUGGUUGUUGUGAGCUUGCAAGUACAUUCAAUGUACUGACCUGGCGUGUCAUGCCAGAUUGCAGGAGAUGCCAUGAUUGCUUGUCGAGGUUGCCGUGCGUGCGAGCUAGAUCGUGUCCCAGCCAGAGUCCCUGCGGAGUGGAGUUCACCACCUUCGUCGUUGUUCCGCUCCUAGAAGUAUUCCGCUGCUACGAGUUGUUCCGCUGCUAGCAUAGAGCAAGUAUAGUAUCGCAGGCGUGGUGUCGCAGUGCUGAUGUGCUUCUUUGUAACAUCAGACCCUUGUAUUAUUAUUCUUGUAAUAAGAGCUGAUUUGUUCUAUGUCGAGCAGUGCCGUAUUCCAGAGACUUCUCCUCGAUCUCUGGGCUGGAAUACGGGGCAUUCCGGUUUCUCUGAGCCGUGGUGCCACAGGCUUGGUAUCAGAGCAGGUCUGGCUGUAGGACGCCCUAGUCAGCGCGAGCGGUAGAAACCGGUAGAAAUCGGUAGAAAUCGGUAGUUUAGAGGUGGUCUUGUUUGUCGCAUUUGGUUGCUGCAUUUGUUUGUUGCAUAGCAUGCAGAUAGCCUUAUUAUUUUGUUACUAACGGUUUAAUCUGGUGAGUGUAGAUGGCAUCGGUCCGGAUCCACUACAGCUCAGCCUUUGCAUUUCUCCAGUUUUCUUUUCUUGCUCAUUCUUCGGUGUUUGGCGUCAUUUCUGUCCCAGCAGAGUGAUGCCAAGUGAUCCUGACACUAUUUGCAAAAAUGGUGCUCAGGUAUCACACCGAAUUAUUUCCUUCAGCCCCACCUUUUGUUUCAGUGGUAGACAUGCUUCUAUCACGGAUCGUCCUUUUUCUUGUCAUUUUGGCAACCCUUAAUGAUCGUAGUUAUCAAGAAAGGGCAGUGUCAGUAGCCUCAGUUUUUCCCCGCUAUCCUAUUUCUUGGACGAGUACGGAUCUUUUUCCAUCCGCUUGAUAAUAAUGUGGUUGCGACCUUCGUGUCCCACUACAUGAUUACCGAAUGCGUCCUCGCCUCCGAACUAGUCCAGGUUGCUACCUGGCUAAGCUAGCACUUGGUGUAGCGCUGUUUACACCAAAUUUUCCACACAUUUAUUCGUCCUGGUGCACAUCGUCACAGCAUGCUAGAUCGUAGAACCGGAGAUCCCGCGAGAUUUGUGUGCUUAAGUAGGCAUGCAUAUUGUGUGACUAGCAGUAAAAUGCGACAUUGAUUGUGUGUGAAUUGAUUGUUGUUGUGUGUUUUUGUUUAGUUGAGUUUUCUUUUGCUUCUUUCUUUUUGGGCCUCGGUGUUACAUUAUUUUCCCCUAUAAAGAGUUGCUCAUCAACUGACACCGGACUCGAAGAAGUAAUAAGUAUUUCAAAUAUUUGGAAGAAGCUCAACUAAACAUUAUGGCCUUCUCAGUCAACCGCAUGAUAUAAGGAAUAUCUGCUCAAAAUACCAAUUGUGUCUUGGGUUGAUUAUCCGCAUCAAUUCUACAACAGUAAUGAUCCAGCCAGCAGAAAGACAAGUCAGAUGCAAGACCAACGGUAUAUUUUCAGUCAAAGGUAUGGAUCAUAGGCAAAGUUUUGGCUCAGCAAUAAAUGAUACUUGAAAUAUGUUAUACUCCAAGAGAAAGUCAGGAUGUGAUAUGCUCAAGGAAGACGGUCAAACAAAUUUUCUCAUGCAAAUGAUCAACCGCAAAAUAUUAUGGAUGUGUGCAUGGAUUUCAAUCUGCAUAUCAGUAUGAAGUUUUGGAUAUAAGAAACCCAGCAUUAUUCCACACGCUAUCGGAAGAAAUUUAUGAGGCAAGGCUCCUCAAUUUUUCCUCAGCAUGAUAUGUGAACUAUUUCCAGCCCAAGGUACCCGGUCUUUCUCAACAAGAUACCUCGGUAAAAGCUUCUGACCGACGGAAAUGAAUUUUUCUCAACAAGCAAACCCGAGGAGAAGCUUCUCAAGUAUGGAACUCAAGUUUCUCCAGCACAAUAAUCCGACCAAGCUUCGGGUGUAAGCUAUCGAGAUUUCUACUGCACGCUACCCAGACAAAAGCCUCGAGCAGAAUCUAAGAGUCUUCCUCAGUAAGCUACUUGGAUGGCUUCCCUCGUAAGCCACCCAGUCCGCGUUAGUACCACACUAUGCACCGUUCUCAGAGAUUAUAUGAUGAGUUGGCAGUAUAUGGCAGUACAUCUCAAGGAUCAAAUUCACAAUAAUUUUGUCAGAGGAACAAUUCAGUCAAAACAUAUGCCUGCCACAAUAAUAGGGUAUUUAGUUGCAUAUGAUUAUUAUACAUAUGGUACGCAUGUAUCCCGGGUCAGAUCGGUCACUUAUACGGGAUAUGACACUGAUCCAGCAGAUAUACCUAAGAAAGCAAUGAGCUCCGUACAGCUACAAACCCCGAGUAUAUGUCAUAUAUGUGCGAACACAGGUCAGAAAAUAAGCAGAAGGAAUAAUGCCAACAAUAUUGCAGUAGCCACAGUCAUGUUCAUACGAAGAAUCAAGGACAUGUGUGGCCAAGUUAUUUCAGUAAGGUAUCCUGACAAAGAAAAUCAUGACCGUUAAAGGGUGAGACUGACAACAAAUGUAUGAUGUAUUUUGCAUGACCAUCAGGGUCCGGAUACCCCAAGUCAGUUGGAGGCCAUAAUUCCAUAUGGAUCCACAAUGACAUACACCUUCAGCGGCCUACUCUAUUUACAAGGAUUUUCAUAUCUCGCUGACCGCUUGAUAUGGUUAGUGUGGAAUAUCCAAGUCUAUUCUGUCAGAUCCAAGAUUCCUUUGCAACCUCAACAGUUUGACCUCAACGGCAGGGUUAAAACAUAUCACAGCGUAUUACCAAAAAUGGGUAUACCGACAAAAUGAGAAAGUCAAAAGCCGAAUAAUCAGCUCAGACCCGGUAUACUCGCCGACAGAAUCAAGUACACGGUCAGUCUGUCAGGAAAAGCAUUUGUCCGUCAGCCCCUGUCGGGCAAAGUCUCAAGAUAUAAAUAUUUGAGGCUCGAGCCAAAGGAAAUAAAUCAAGAUAAAUCAGUGCACCUAUGAGCAGUCAGAUCCCGUCAGAAGAUGGCCAUGAUUAAUUCUAAGCAUUUAUUGAACCCAGAAGGCUUGCAGCAACCCCAUGACAGAAAUAAAAAUGUUCUCAUGACCAAAAGGAAAUUUAUGAUCAGAUCCAUCGGACAUCACCGCAGAUAUGAGAAAAUCAAUGUCAGCAAAAGGAUUCGGUAUAUGAGCAAAGACCCAUCAAAAUUUGGGGAAAAGCCACCCCAGAGCAAGGUAAGUUGAUCAUCUGAAUCUUGGGGGAACAAUAAAUAAAGGAAAAAGGAUGCCCGAGUUGGAAACGGUAUCCUCAAGUCAUACUUGUUCCCAGAGCAACUAAAUCUCGAGGACGAGAUUUCUUUAAGGGGGUAAGAGUUGUAACAGCCUGGAUUUUGGCCCUUUUCUUUUUCUUUUAAUUUAAUUGGUUUUUGCUCUGUUUUUCUUUUUGGAGUGGUUCUGUGGCCUUGUCACCUGGGAAAUCAUCCUCUUUUUCCCUCCCAAGUGGCUCAUCAUUCUCAAAACCUUGCCAAGAUCAUGUCACUCCACUGCUUGACCAAACCCUAAUUUUUUUUUCUCAGGAAUAUUCCUUUUUCUAUUAAAGGAAUAACCCUGUCUGCCCUAGGUUGUGAAGCAACCUUUAUUUCCAUCACUCCUAAAAUUCCCAAAUAAUUCUCAAAAAUUGUUUGGAUCAUAUCUUGCUCAAAUAUGGCAAAAUAUUUCAUUUGUCAUGUUUAUUAUCAUGCUCAAAUAAUUCAUUUCCUAUUCUGCCCUAAAUGGCACAUUGUGAAGCAAGUGCUAUUUUCCUUUUCCCAAUUGAUCUCCAACUCCUUGGACACCUUUUCCUGUCCAUAUCAUUCCCACAUGCCAAAAUGCAACCUCAUUUGCCUAGUAAUUAUUUAAUUAUGAUUUUCCAAAGUUUCUUCCCAGAAAGAAGCUUUGUGAAGGAGGUGCAAGCUAGGCAUAUCUAAAUGAGUUGCCAUUUUGCAUGAUCCGUCAUACCAUCAUAUCAUAGCCCUCCACCAAAGUAGAGCUCAUGUCAUGCCUCCAUGUGAGCUCAUCUUCAAUUCUUUGAUUCUGCCCAAAAUUUCAGUUUGUGAAGCAAGUAUAUUUUAUCUUGCUCCAUUAUGGCUGCCAAUUUUUCUAGGCCUUCUAUUAUCCAUAUAACCUACCUCCACCCAUUUUGGGCAUGGUUCAUCAAGCCAUUAUUCCUCUAGAAUUUUUGCAAGUUUCUGGUCAGCAAGGAUGUUUAUGAAGCAAGUACCAUUUUGGUGAAUCCAAUUGGUAUGAAACUUAUACAGCAUCUUUAUAUGAUCAAAUCAUGAAGCCUUACCAAACGUGAGCUCAAGUGGCCACACCAUUUGAGUGCAUCAUCCAAAUCUCAUUUCUGGACCAUUUCGGUCAGUUGCAAAGCAACAAUGAUUUAUCUUGAUCCAAUUCUUCUCCAAGUUACCAGGAUGAAAGUCCUUCUUUACCUCAACCUUGCAGACAACUCCAUUGGAUCCAAAACCCUUCCUGUUGAUCACUAGUGCUCACCCAAGUUUACUGCAGUAAACUUCAGAGGGUUCUUACCAUUUAACCAGAUCACUUUUAACCAAGCUACCACCGUAGAUGAGACCUACCCUGGAUGAAAUUACCACUAGACAUCAUGUUCAAGCCUCUCUCCCCAGCUACAUGCCAGUGCACGCGGCGACCGUGUUAAUGGCAUCACUGUGCACGCGCUCUGUGUGCAGUGGCCGCGCCCAGUGGCUGUUUGUGCUUCGGCACCUCCUCCUCUCAUCGCCUUAGCGCGCGUGACCGUGUCCAUUGUCUUCCUCUCAUCGUCUCAGUUCCCCUGGACCCCUCUCCCCCUCCGUCCGCUUCCUCACCGACGCUCGCCGCCGAACGCCCACGAGAGCACAGUGGCGGUUUGGCUCCGUUCGUCGCCGUCGUCAUCCUCCCUGCGCCCCCUUGGCCUCCUCUGCCUCGUGAGAGCCUCCACUGCUCCUCCUCGUCGCCUAACUCCGAGCUCAUGCGCGUGGGCACGCGUCCGCGGCGACGCCAGGACGGCUCCCCCUCCCGUCGGCUAUAUAAGCCACCCCGAGCUCCCUAGACCGCACCAGCCUCCUCACCUCUCCCCUCUAGGCCUCCCCGACCACCCAAACGAGCUCGAGGAGCUCUCGUUGCCCUCCCAUGGCCGAAGCUUCGCCGCGGUGCUCCGCUCAAAUCCGGCCAAACCGAGCCACCCCUCCACUCCCUGAUCUUACCCUCGUCUUCCCCGUGCUCCUGCGAGUCUCCUCAACCCGACGCCUUGCCGCCGGAGCAGCCACAUCGCCAUUCCCGCAUCUGCCCAAACCGCCGUCCGCCGGAGUUCAUGUCGUCGUUGCCUCCGUCCAUUCUGGAGCCCGUGACCUCCACCUUCGGGUGCGGCUCCUCCUGCUGAGCUCGCCCAUAGGUCGAGCGAGGCGAGGGAUGGCCGGAGCCGGCCGGACGAGCCCCCGCGCCGGCGACCUCCCUCUGCUCCGCGGGCGCGAGCGAGGUAGAUGAAGACGACGACCCCCCUGCCAACUGGCCGCGGGCCCCGCGCGUCAGCCCCUCAGCUGUUGACCCCGCCAGCCACGUCAGAUAAGUGGAGACGAACUUCCAGCUUUCCGUUUUCUUCUUCCAAAAGCGUAUUUCAGCCAAAGUAUGCUUCCCUUAUCUGAAAGCGUAUUAUGUAUCUGUUUCAGCAAGGAAUACGUUUUCCCUGAAGCGAAGGCGUAUUCUUUAAAGUACGCUUUCCGUUUUUCUGCCCAGGCCCAAUUUGUUAAGAUUUUUCUUACAAAUAGGCCCCUGGCAGAGAAACAAGUGUAUCUUUUUACUCCUAGCUCCGAAUCAGGUGAAUCCAAAGCCCACUUCUUCGUUUCGUCGAGCCUGUUCUGAUGGAACCAUUUUCACCUUGUUUUGACAUUCUGAAAAUGACCAUUUUUCCCCUGCCUUAUUCAGCCCCCUCCGAGAGAGAACGUUUUCCGACGAUCCUUUCCGCGAGCUUCUCGCACUUCUUUUCGGUGAUUUCUUCCACCCCAAGCAAGCCACACCCUCCAUUUGCAUGAUUGCAAUGCAGUGACAUGGUUUCUUUAUUUAAACUUGUUUAAAAUAUUCUAUUAGCUAGGUAUGAUUUGUUCAUGGCAUUUCUCGGAGUAUUGUUUGAUCUUGAUAUUGCCAUGAUAUUGCUUGGAGUUCUAGGAUUAAUAUUUUGAUGAUUAUGUGGAUGACAUGUGCCUUCGGAUUCUUAGUGGUUAUUGUGAUUAUUUUUCAUGAUGGUAUCUGGUGAUAUUUUGGAGUAUUACUUUGGAUAUCAUGCUGCCUUUGGAUUAUUAGUGGUUAGUAUGAUUAUUUUUCAUGAUGCUAGUUGACGUUCUGUUGCUUGGAGUAUUAUUUUCGGAGAUGAUGUUUACAUGUGGAUCUUAGCCGAAUAGCUUCAUUCUUGUUAUUGGAGUAGUAGGAUUAUUGAUUUUCGGAUUCAUCAUGACAGUAGUGUUGUGCUACCCUUGGAGUAUUUUGAGAUGAGGAGAUUAUGCUUGGAUUAUUUGUUGGAUAUUGCUAUGACUUGGAUUAUAGGUUGAUAGAUGAUAUUGGAGUAUCUGUUACCACAGUUAUAUUUUUGGGGAUAAAUUCCGUCAUUAAGUUGGUCAGGUGUCACCGAACCGGGGUUUUCCAGUGCAACCACAUUUGCCUUUAUGGGAAGGCCCUAAUGCGGUCUAUUGUCAUGUCUCUUCCCGGUGCCUCCAACGAGGGAAGGUUAUGGGCGUGCGUACCCUGGCCCGGUAAGAAGACAUAACCUUGUGUGCCCGUUGUUGUUGUUAUGGAUCCGGUCCCCGUGAGGGACGUUUUGGCCACGACGGUGGUCGGUGUGUCUUUGGUAGACACGGGGCCACCCAGGACUAAACCCAGAAGGGAUGUUGGUCGGAGUGGCCGGGAGAGUGUCAUGGCAGUAGAUCGGUUUUGUCGGAACGCCGUUGGUCCACCCGAAUGGGAGUACGAGGCCAUGGGUUCUGUGGUGUGGGUACAAUGUGCUACCUCUGCAGAGUGUAUUAAUCUAUCGAUAGUCGUGUCCUCGGUCAUGGGCAUGGGUUCGUACUAGGUCCCACCGUUUGAUCAACACUCACAUGACGGAAUGACUUAUAGGUGAUUUAUAUG